AUUGAACGCUGGCGGCAUGCUUUACACAUGCAAGUCGCACGAGUGGCGAACGGGUGAGUAAUAUAUCGGAACGUACCCAGUAAUGGGGGAUAACUACUCGAAAGAUUAGCUAAUACCGCAUAGUAUUCGAGCGGCCGAUAUCUACUUAGCUAGUGGAUGGGGUACAGGCGUACCAAGGCGACGAUCAGUAGCGGGUCUGAGAGGAUGAUCAGCCACACUGGAACGGAGACACAGCCCAGACUCCUACGUGAGGCAGCAGUGGGGAAUUUUGGAAGAUGGGGGCAAGCCUGAUCCAGACAUGCCGCAUGUCCGAAGAAGGCCUUCAGGUUGUAAAGGACUUUUGUCAGGGAAGCGGGACCUGAAGAAUAAGCACCGGCUAACUACGUGCCAGCAGCCGCGGUAAUAC
rnacentral:rRNA from 1 species